CUAUUUAAAUACUAAAUUAGUGACUGUUUUAUAUAAAGUGAAGAAGUCCUUGAUUAUGUUUUUAUGUUACUUUUAUAUUUAGAAUUUUACUUUUAUAUUUCCCCGAUUUAAGUUGAUAUAGGCAACUCAAAUUACACGGCCUGUCAAAGUUUCCAGCACCUUGUCUGUCUCUCUCUAGGACCUCUCUCUUGUAUCGUGGCUGCAUUAAUUGUCUUCCUGCCUAUUCCAUCCGUCUUGACAGUUCAUUGGUAAAAGAUAAAUCUUAUUUUAAUGAGUUUUAGAUAAUUUUAGUUGUAUUUCUUUGUAAUUUUGUGUUGUACAAAGAUUAAUUUAACAUUUUCUCUGGAAGUAUUAAUUUAGAAAGAUAAUAUGCUUCAUUGGUGUUGUGUUUUGAAGUGUGAAAUGCAAAGUAAUUGUGAUAAAGUCAAGAUAAAGUUCACUUUUAAACUGAACUAAAUAAGGUAUCUGAGAGUCAACAAUGGUUAAAUGCAAUACAAUGUACAGGUUUUACUAGCGAAAUGAAAAUUUUCCUGUCCUGUCUGCUGUAAUCAUUUUAUAUCUGGAAAACCAGCCGACUUAAUCGAUAAUAACAAUCUCCAGAUUGGGUUCCUUCAAUAAAUAUGGUCUAUAAACACAAUGAAAUAAGUUCCCCAAAAUCUAAAAUGGAGUGGUAUCAAAGGAGAAUUAAAGGGAAAAAUAUUCAUAUUGAAAUUAUUUAUAAGGCACUGGACUGUCUUAAAUUCUACAAUACUACUAGAAUCAGCUGAGAGAAGUGGUCUACAAAAAACCAGGAAGGAAACGGAAUAUGUGGCUACGAAAGGCAAAAGAAAGGUUUACAAAGCAAAUGUGACACAUUUUUUUGAAAUAUUUAGGAAUAUCAGUAAAUUGCAUUAAAAAAAUGUAUGAAAAGAUUUUGUUCAAUAAAAAUGUUUAUAUUUA